CUGUUCUUCUUAUUGUCCACGUGGUGCAAGGUGUGACCUCAGGCAAUGUGACUGGUACUGAGUGCACUGUACAGGAGUCGUACCUGAUGUACAAAACUGUUCUGACUCAGCACGCGCACUGAAGUCUGCACUAAACACGUGGUGUUGGCAUUUUCCUCCGCGAUGUAGGAGAUGCAGAACAGAGCUGAGGUCAACGUACAAAAGUGGUCACGGAGCUCGCCUAUCGCAGGAAGAAUGUUUGCUGCGCAGGGACACUGAAGA